rnacentral:rRNA from 1 species
AUUGAACGCUGGCGGCAGGCCUAACACAUGCAAGUCGAGCGGAUGAGGGGAGCUUGCUCCUGGAUUCAGCGGCGGACGGGUGAGUAAUGCCUAGGAAUCUGCCUGGUAGUGGGGGAUAACGUCCGGAAACGGGCGCUAAUACCGCAUACGUCCUGAGGGAGAAAGUGGGGGAUCUUCGGACCUCACGCUAUCAGAUGAGCCUAGGUCGGAUUAGCUAGUUGGUGGGGUAAAGGCCUACCAAGGCGACGAUCCGUAACUGGUCUGAGAGGAUGAUCAGUCACACUGGAACUGAGACACGGUCCAGACUCCUACGGGGGGCAGCAGUGGGGAAUAUUGGACAAUGGGCGAAAGCCUGAUCCAGCCAUGCCGCGUGUGUGAAGAAGGUCUUCGGAUUGUAAAGCACUUUAAGUUGGGAGGAAGGGCAGUAAGUUAAUACCUUGCUGUUUUGACGUUACCAACAGAAUAAGCACCGGCUAACUUCGUG